AGAAUAAUAAUAAUAACUAGAAAAGGCAAAGUUCGUGAACGAACUUUAAGUUGGCUUGUCAAAUAGUUACUAAGUUGUGUAGUGUGGUGUGGAGUGUGUGGGAUGUGGAGUGGGUUGUGGAGUGUGUUUGGUGUGGUGUGUUUGGAAUGUGGGGUGGAGUGUGGUGUAUGUGUGGUGGAGUGUGGGGUGAGUUGUGUGUAUUAGGUGUGGAGUGUGUGUGUUGUGGAGUGUGUGUGGUGUGGGGUUUGUGUGGUGUGGAGUGUGUGUGGUGUGGGGUAUGUGUGGUUUGAAGUGUGUGUGGUGUGGGGUAUGUGUGGUUUGAAGUGUGUGUGGUGUGGGGUAUGUGUGGUUUGAAGUGUGUGUGGUGUGGGGUUUGUGUGGUGUGGAGCGUGUGUGGUGUGGGGUAUGUGUGGUUUGAAGUGUGUGUGGUGUGGGGUAUGUGUGAUGUGGAGUGUGUGUGGUGUGGGGUGUGAAGUGUCUGUGGUAUGUGUGUGGUGGAGUGUGUGUGGUGUGGGGUAUGUGAGCUGUGGAGUGUGUGUGUGGUUGAAAGUGUGUGUGGUGUUGGGUAUGAAGUGUGUGUGGGGUGGAGUGUGUGUGGUGUGGGCUAUGUGAGCUGUGGAGUGUGUGUGGUUUAAAGUGUGUGUGGUGUGGGGUUUGUGUGGUGUGGGGUAUGUGUGCUGUGGAGUGUGUGUGGUUUAAAGUGUGUGUGGUGUGGGGUUUGUGUGGUGUGGAGUGUGUGUGUGGUGUGGGUUAUGUGUGGUUUGAAGCGUGUGUGGUGUGGGGUAUGUGUGGUUUGAAGUGUGUGUGUGUGGUGUGGGGUAUGUGUGGUUUGAAGUGUGUGUGUAGUUAGUGUGUGUGUGGUGUGGGGUGUGUGUGUGGUGUGGGGUGUGUGUGUGGUGUGGGUUAUGUGUGGUUUGAAGCGUGUGUGGUGUGGGGUAUGUGUGGUUUGAAGUGUGUGUGUGUGGUGUGGGGUAUGUGUGGUUUGAAGUGUGUGUGUAGUUAGUGUGUGUGUGUGGUGUGGGGUGUGUGUGUGGUGUGGGUUAUGUGUGGUUUGAAGCGUGUGUGGUGUGGGGUAUGUGUGGUUUGAAGUGUGUGUGUGUGGUGUGGGGUAUGUGUGGUUUGAAGUGUGUGUGUAGUUAGUGUGUGUGUGUGGUGUGGGGUGUGUGUGUGGUGUGGGGUAUGUGUGGUUUGAAGU